UUUAUAUGAGAGUUUGAUCCUGGCUCAGGAUGAACGCUGGCGGCGUGCCUAAUACAUGCAAGUCGAACGAGUUCUCGUUGAUGAUCGGUGCUUGCACCGAGAUUCAACAUGGAACGAGUGGCGGACGGGUGAGUAACACGUGGGUAACCUGCCCUUAAGUGGGGGAUAACAUUUGGAAACAGAUGCUAAUACCGCAUAGAUCCAAGAACCGCAUGGUUCU
rnacentral:rRNA from 1 species